rnacentral:rRNA from 1 species
GACAGAGGAUGCAAGCGUUAUCCGGAAUGAUUGGGCGUAAAGCGUCUGUAGGUGGUUUGACAAGUCUUUUGUCAAAGAUCAGGGCUUAACCCUGGACCGGCAAGAGAAACUAUCAGACUAGAGUUCGGUAGGGGCAGAGGGAAUUCCCGGUGGAGCGGUGAAAUGCGUAGAGAUCGGGAGGAACACCAGAGGCGAAAGCGGUUGCCUGGAGCUUUGCUGACGCUGAGGCGCGAAAGCGUGGGGAGCGAUCCGG